UGUGCAUAAUAAAUUUAUUUUAUUCACAUAAAAUUUCUGUAAUACUGAGUAAUCGUGACACACAAAUUGUUGGACCAUUUCCUAAACCGAAAGCUACUGUAGUACAUAGUAUAUCGUAUGCAGUUUGGGAUACAGACUUGAAUUCUGUCAGAAGAUACAAUAUGUAGCUGUGACAAAAUGUUCCUCCUCAAGCAGCGAGUGUGCUAAAUUCCAAAGUUUUACAUUGUGUAUUUUUUUUAAAUGAAAGUACAUCAUGUUUUUCCCUAAAAUGGGAUUAUCCUUAUACAAAUCACUGGGACCUUUCUAGCCUUUACAUUGCAAAUGAACCAUCAUCUCAGGGUACUGUCAGGGUUCAAAUUAAAGGUUAAGGACAAUGAAAGACAGUCUCAGGGGUACCAAAAUCUCAAAACUCCAGGCCAGAGUCUCCAAAAAAUAGAUUGAGUAGGUCCCCACUGUUUACUGUAUUAUGAGAUAUAUAAUGUAUUCCAAUAGAUAUGACUUUUUGGAAAGGCAUACCUGGUUGUUUUAAAUGUACGCUAGAAGUCCAAAAGUAUGUGGACAUCCGACCAUCACACGCAUACAGAAUGUGUUUUGUGAAUUUCCCAUUCCAGAUUUAGUCCCCUUUGCGCUAAUAAAACCACUCCACUCUUCUGGGAAGGCUUUCCACUAGAUUUGGAGCGUGGCUGUGGGGAUUUGUGAUCAUUCAGCUACAAGAGUAUUAGUGAGGUCAGACACUGAUGUUAGGUGAGGAGGUCUGGGGUGGCAGUCAGUGUACCAAUUCAUCCCAAAGGUGUUCAGUGGGGUUGAGGUCAGGGCUCUGUGCAGGACACUUGAGAGAACCAUGGCAAACCAUGUCUUCUGGGCCUCGCUUUGUGCACAGGUGCAUUGUCAUGCUGGAACAUGUUUGGGCCCAACCCUGGUUCCAGUGAAGGGAAAUUAUAAUGCUACAGCAUACAAAGACAUUCUAUACAAGUGUGUGCUUCCAGCUUUAUGGCAGCAGUUUAGGGAAGGAGCACAUAUGGGUGUAAUGGUCAAGUGUCCACAUAUUUUUGGCCAUACAGUGUAUAAUUUACUCAUGUUUUUGUGUUAUUACAGCAUAGGAUAGGAUCAAAUUUUUACAUAAACUUUUUACAGUACAAACCUCCUCAAACCUCAGGUGCACCAAGAGAAUCCACAUCGUCUCCUUCAUGCCUACAGCAAACUGGCCUAAUAAAGAUGUCACGUCACGUUUUGGUCUAGAAAUGCAUCCUGUGUUGUUAUACCCUGUAUAGGUAUCAUUCAAACACUGCUGGCCAUCACC
ensembl:lncRNA